rnacentral:rRNA from 2 species
CAAAUGAAUCAAAACUUUCAACAACGGAUCUCUUGGUUCUGGCAUCGAUGAAGAACGCAGCGAAAUGCGAUAAGUAAUGUGAAUUGCAGAAUUCAGUGAACCAUCGAAUCUUUGAACGCACAUUGCGCCCGCCAGCACUCUGGCGGGCAUGCCUGUCCGAGCGUCAUCUCAACCCUC